GAUGAACGCUGGCGGCGUGCCUAAUACAUGCAAGUCGAGCGAAUGAAGAGGAGCUUGCUCCUCUGAUUUAGCGGCGGACGGGUGAGUAACACGUGGGUAAUCUGCCUGUAAGACGGGGAUAACUCCGGGAAACCGGGGCUAAUACCGGAUAAUAAGAAGAAACGCAUAUUUCUUUUUUGAAAGUCGGUUUCGGCUGACGCUUACAGAUGAGCCCGCGGCGCAUUAGCUAGUUGGUGAGGUAACGGCUCACCAAGGCGACCAUGCGUAGCCGACCUGAGCGGGUGAUCGGCAACACGGGGACUGAGACACGGCCCAGACUCCUACGGGAGGCAGCAGUAGGGAAUCUUCGGCAAUGGGCGAAAGCCUGACCGAGCAACGCCGCGUGAGCGAUGAAGGCCUUCGGGUCGUAAAGCUCUGUUGUUAGAGAAGAACAAGUACGAGAGUAACUGCUCGUACCUUGACGGUACCUAACCAGAAAGCCACGGCUAACUACGUGCCAGCCGCCGCAGUAA
rnacentral:rRNA from 1 species